rnacentral:rRNA from 1 species
UACGAGAGGUGCAAGCGUUAUUCGGAAUCAUUGGGCGUAAAGGGUGCGUAGGCGGCAUGUUAAGUCAACUGUUAAAAGCCCUGGCCUAACUGGGGAAGUGCGGUAGAUACUGGCGUGCUAGAGGAUGGAAGAGAGAAGUGGAAUUCUUGGAGUAGCGGUAAAAUGCGUAGAUCUCAAGAGGAACACCGAUGGCGAAGGCAGCUUCUUAGUCCAUUUCUGACGCUAAUGCACGAAAGCGUGGGGAGCAAACAGG